UACAGAGGUCUCAAGCGUUGUUCGGAUUCAUUGGGCGUAAAGGGUGUGUAGGUGGCGCGCUAAGUCGGGUGUGAAAUUUCGGAGCUUAACUCCGAAACUGCAUCCGAUACUGGAUGGCUUGAAUUCGGGAGAGGGAUGCAGAAUUCCAGGUGUAGCGGUGAAAUGCGUAGAUAUCUGGAGGAAUACCGGUGGCGAAGGCGGCAUCCUGGACCGACAUUGACGCUGAGGAGCGAAAGCUAGGGGAGCAAACGGG
rnacentral:rRNA from 1 species